UGCCUCUCUCUCGCCGUACCUACUGCUGGGCUGCGCUGGGUCUCUUCCUCCUCCUCCCUCAGAUUUGUGCUGCUGCUGCUGUAGUUGUUGUUGUACCUGCUGGGCUCGGGGAAGAAGAAGAACAACAACAAGACCGAGACCUUCUUUUGAUUGUGUGUGGAAGAAGAAGACCAGCAUUAUUAUUGCAGCACAGCACAGCGCCACACAGAUUUCACUCGCUGCACCGCUUUGGGGUUGCUUGCUCGCUUGCUUGCUCGCUUGCUUGCUUGCAUGCUUGCUGCAGCUGUGCUUUGCUGAAAAUGGAGAACUCAGGUGGAAGAUUGGUUUUGUAUGCAUUGUUGGUUGGCGCUCUUCUACCUGCCGCACUUGCUAACUCUGAAGGAGAUGCGCUGUAUGCUCUCCGCCGGAGUUUGACUGAUCCAUCGAAUGUGUGCAAAGCUGGGAUCCUACCUUGGUCAAUCCUUGCACCUGGUUCCAUGUGACGUGUGACGGCCAAAAUCGAGUCAUCCGAGUGGAUCUUGGGAAUGCUCGCCUGUCCGGCUCUUUGGUCUCUGAACUUGGAGCACUUCAGAACCUGCAGUACCUGGAGUUGUACAAGAACAGCCUCACUGGUCACAUUCCCUCGGAACUUGGCAAGUUGAAGUCUCUCGUGAGUUUGGACUUGUACCACAACAAUUUUACAGGCUCCAUUCCUCGCUCUCUUGGAAAGCUAUCCAAUCUGGCAUUUCUACGUCUGAACAAUAACAAGCUGACUGGUCGUAUUCCACGUGAAUUGACGUCAAUCACCACCCUCAAAGCUGUCGAUUUUUCAAACAAUGACUUGUGCGGCACAAUUCCGGUCACGGGCUCUUUCAGUCAUCUUCAAGCCAAGAGCUUUGAUAACAACCCUCGUCUGAAUGGACCUGAGCUUGAGGGCUUCGUUCCUUACGAGAUGUCUUGCCACUAAAGAACUCAGAUUGCCUGGCUACUAGUGACGAAUUUUUUUGGUUUCCUUUCGUGGCUUGCUUUUCUCCAAGAGUACCUUUGAUUAGCGGGGAAAGAUGCCGACUCUUGUUAGCUUGACAAGGACCAUGGGAGCUUACCUUGAGCUGUCCCAAUAUCCUGAGCAGGAAUAUUUGAAGGAAUCAAGGAAAGGUUAGACUUCCAGUGGACAAGCUUAGAGAAGAAAUGUAAGACGGUGAAAAUGGUUGAAUGCCAACUUUAUUACUCUCUAAUAGUGUUGAUCGUA